CGGAGCUGUUAAAUCUUUAAUGAAAUCUCAAAUUAAUGCAGCUGUGGCAGAGUAGUAUUAGAGAUUUCUUUAAAAACUUGACAGCUCCAUAGGGUUUUAUAAAUGUGUGAGACGAUGACUUUUAAUGCAUUGGAGCUAUCCCCUUCAAUACCAAAAUUCCUUUCCUGUCCGAUUCCUGGUGUCAUGUUCAAAAAACAAAUUUCAUGGGUUUCGGUAAGAUAAUUCCGAAACAAAGUAGGCAAUGAAAAUUCUACCUGUGUUCGGAUACUGCCAAACAAUUAAUUGUUGUUUUUGACGGGAUUCGAAGCAGUGGUUCCGAAAUUAGAUUGAGAUGAUGAAAAAUAUUAUUGAACGCAAUUAAAAGAAUCGAUGGUCUCGUUAGUGAAAUCUAUUUUUUCACAGCUCUAAUGACAGCUGAAGUAUUCAUAAGUUUUUCGCAAUAAUUGCUUUUGAACCUGGACACUUUUUUAACCUAGACGGUGUGAACGGAAGGAGAUUGUAUAUCCAGUAUUUGUUUUCUUCUUAAUUGAUUGACGAGGCAACAGCCGGAAGGAAAGACACGUAACAUACUUUUAGGGGAUAUGCAAGAAGUUAUGCUAAGAA